CAGCAGCCGCGGUAACACGUAGGUGGCAAGCGUUGUCCGGAAUUAUUGGGCGUAAAGGGCUCGCAGGCGGUUUCUUAAGUCUGAUGUGAAAGCCCCCGGCUCAACCGGGGAGGGUCAUUGGAAACUGGGAAACUUGAGUGCAGAAGAGGAGAGUGGAAUUCCACGUGUAGCGGUGAAAUGCGUAGAGAUGUGGAGGAACACCAGUGGCGAAGGCGACUCUCUGGUCUGUAACUGACGCUGAGGAGCGAAAGCGUGGGGAGCGAACAGGAUUAGAGACCCGUGUAGUCCCUGUCUCUUAUAA
rnacentral:rRNA from 1 species